UCUGCAAGAUGUCAAGAUUGUUGAACACCCCAGAUGGAAGCCCUUACACUUGGUGGGUUGGCAAAGCCAACGAGAAGCACUACUACUGGGGAGGCUCUGGGCCUGGAAUCCAGAAAUGUGCCUGCGGCAUCGAACGCAACUGCACAGAUCCCAAGUACUACUGUAACUGCGACGCGGACUACAAGCAAUGGAGGAAGGAUGCUGGUUUCUUAUCGUACAAAGAUCACCUGCCAGUGAGCCAAGUGGUGGUUGGAGAUACUGACCGUCAAGGCUCAGAAGCCAAAUUGAGCGUAGGUCCUCUGCGCUGCCAAGGAGACAGUAAGUUUGCAUAGCAGCUAUGGCUUGCACUUUCUUAUCCCAUUUAAAUAUUGUUUCCAGGCUCCUCAGAAGAUGCCUGCAAUCAGAGUUGCAGAAACAUCACGCAACCCAAGCAGAGAUAACUUAGAGGAGGGGAACAGCCAUAAAGCCUCCAGUACAGGAGCCGAGAUUUGGGC
rnacentral:sRNA from 1 species